CUUUUCACUUGGGUAUAGUUCACUACCUUCCCACACCUGAGUACACAAUCUUCUCCAUGAUGGCAACAUACCUCCCAUUUACUUUGUAUUGGGGGUUGAGUGUCCAAGACCCUUCGAUUCCAUACAAGAUGGGACGGGUGGUGAUCUGGACCAUUACCUUGCCUUACCAUGUUGUGGUCUGGAUUGAAUCAUUAGGAUGCAAAGCUGGUAUAUGGAUUCAAGCAAAAUGGGAAAAUGCUCGUGUGCGAGUUGGUGGAACAUUACCAGGAUUUUCCUCGGUGCCACCGCAGCCAAAUGCAUAGGUGAUGCAAACAAUCCUUGCUAAGUGAUGAAAAUAGGCCAGAUAAUUGUGAAUACAAAUAGGAUGGCGUAAUGUACAAGUAGGACUUCCCUCAUCGUCUCGCUGAUUGCUAGGAGACAGCAAGGUGCCUCAGUUUGUCCGAUGCAAAUACAAGACCAAGUGUUUCUGGGCUUUUCUCUCGUCCCAUGUACUAAAGACUCAGUAGUUGGUUGUCUCUUGGGCAUAUUUAUUUGCAGGAUUAUGUGUUUCAUUAGGUUGUCUCUUGGGCAUAGUCCCCAUGUUGUCUCCUUUCAUGGAUUCUUUAUCUCCUUACAUUGAUUGGUCUUUACCUGGUGCAUUUGAAUA